CGGGGUGUGGCUCAGUCCGGUUAGAGUACCUGGUUUGGGACCAGGGGGUCGCAGGUUCGAAUCCUGCCACCCCGA
rnacentral:tRNA from 1 species